rnacentral:lncRNA from 1 species
CCUUCCUCUCUUUUUUUUCUUCUUUUCAUGGCCUCGCACACCCUCGUCGGUUGUCGGGAUAGUUGGAAAUCUCAUGAAAAGGGGCGGUCCUGUUUUUCUCCUGUUCGACCGAGCCUUUCUUCCUCUUUUUCGGCCACCGAUGCCAUCGCCCGUGGUGUUACUCUCUUGUAGCAUGACCCCCAUCUCCUUAUCUUCCUUUUUCCUGAGGUCUUGACCGCCGACGAUUGGCCAAC